AGGUGUACGUCCGCGUGCGACCUUUGACCCAAGGCCGGCUGAGGACAGACGGAGACCAGGAUUUAUGUUUAACGGUGACCUCGGAUCACACGCUGCGUCUGAACUCCAAAUCCAAGCCGCGAAACUUCACCUACGAUCAUGUGGCGGACAUGGACGCGACUCAGGAAUACAUGUUCUCCUUAGUCGCUAAAAACAUCGUGGAGUCGUGCAUGCAUGGUUACAGUGGCACGAUAUUCGCAUAUGGACAGACAGGUUCAGGGAAGACCUUUCCCAUGCUGGGGCCGAACGAGCUGACGGAUUUCUCUGAUCAGCUGCAUGGUGUUAUUCCUCAUAGCAUUGAGCAUUUGUAAUCCCUCAUGAGCAGAGUGGGGGCGGAGGUGAGCUGUUACAUUCAACCUCACAUCAAACACGCUACCUGCACCACCCUCCUGUCUGUAGACACGACAGCAGACCCGCCCGCUCGUCAAUAAGCCCACCCACUCGUCCACAGACCGCCCGCUCGUCAAUAAGCCCACCCACUCGUCCACAGACCGCCCGCUCGUCAAUAAGCCCACCCACUCGUCCACAGACCGCCGGCUCGUCAAUAAGCCCACCCACUCGUCCACAGAUCGCCCGCUCGUCAAUAAGCCCACCCACUUGUCCACAGACCGCCCGCUCGUCAAUAAGCCCACCAACUCGU